AUGGAGCUGGUGGGGCGGCUGGCGUGCUUGGUGGCGGCGGCGGCGGCGGCGCUGGCGCUGGCGACGGUGGCGAGGUGCGACCCGCAGGUGCCGUGCUACUUCAUCUUCGGCGACUCGCUGGUGGACAACGGCAACAACAACUACAUCGUGUCCCUGGCGCGCGCCAACUACCCGCCCUACGGCAUCGACUUCGCCGGCGGCCCGUCGGGGCGCUUCACCAACGGCCUCACAACCGUCGACGUCAUCGCUCAACUUCUGGGCUUCGACAAUUUUAUCCCUCCCUACGCGGCGACGGGCGGCGACCAGCUCCUCAACGGCGUCAACUUCGCCUCCGCCGCCGCCGGGAUCCGUGCCGAGACCGGCCAGCAGCUGGGCGGCCGGAUCCCGUUCGCGGGGCAGGUGCAGAACUACCAGACGGCGGUGCAGACGCUGGUGAACAUCCUGGGCGACCGGGACACGGCGUCGGAGCGGCUGAGCCAGUGCAUCUUCACGGUGGGCAUGGGCAGCAACGACUACCUCAACAACUACUUCCAGCCGGCCUUCUACAACACCGGCAGCCGCUACACGCCGGAGCAGUUCGCCGACUCGCUCAUCGCCGACUACCGCCGCUACCUCCAGGCCAUGUACAGCUACGGCGCCCGGAAGGUGGCCCUGAUCGGGGUGGGCCAGGUCGGCUGCGCCCCCAACGAGCUGGCGCGCUACAGCCCCGACGGCGCCACCUGCGUCGGCCGCAUCGACGGCGCCAUCCAGAUCUUCAACCGGCGGCUGGUCGGUCUCGUCGACCAGAUGAACACCCUCCCCGGCGCGCACUUCACCUACAUCAACGCCUACAACAUCUUCAACGACAUCCUGGCCAACGCCGCCGCCUACGGGUUCACGGAGUCCACCGCCGGGUGCUGCGGCGUGGGCCGGAACAACGGGGAGGUGACGUGCCUGCCGUACCAGGCGCCCUGCGCCAACAGGGACCAGCACAUCUUCUGGGACGCCUUCCACCCGUCGGAGGCGGCCAACAUCAUCGUCGGCCGGAGGUCCUACCGCGCCCAGUCGCCCAACGACGCCUACCCGAUGGACAUCAGCACGCUCGCAUCCCUUUGA
rnacentral:rRNA from 1 species